UACGUGUUUCGUUACCGCGUGAAGAAUAACGCUAGUCGUCGAUGGUGUUCGUAAUCAGCCCGCAGGGCGGAGAGUUCAGUUCCGAGCGAUAGUAUCGCGGGCGCGGUGGAGUUCCAAGCGAAGCAUCGAGUGGGUCCUUGGCGAAGGGAAGUGUGCGGCGGCGGAGUCCCGCGACGGAGGUCCACGAGGGGUGCUGCGGCGAGAGUUGCGCCAGAGGUGCGGCCCCGCGAGUUGUGCGGUGUGUAAAAACGAGUGAUUGGGGAAGCAACAUUUUAAACUGCAAUUGAUAAUUUGGCAUUUUUAGAUUAUUUGUUAGUGAAGUAAAUAGUGGCAAUAAAUAAAACUGUGUGGUAGUAAAAUCUUUAAUUGGCCUAUCCUUUACGAACCCGCGAUCGUAACAAUGUUUCAUUUCAAAUUUUCUCAACAGAUCAUAUUGUUACGAUUGGGAAGAAACUGGGUUCGUAAGGAUAGCCCAAUUGAUUUAACGCAGGUUUAUUUGUUACUAAUAUUUAUAUUACUAAUUAAAUCAACACUCUUAAUGUUUGUUCACAAAUUACUAAAUAUCUACUGAGUCCACUGUUCGCCCUCCUCACUGGAGCUAGGCUCGACAGUGGUUCGCCCCUUACUUCGCACCUGUCCACACACAGUCUCGCGCCACUCGGUCACACUAGCACGGUCCUGUCGCUCCGCGCCUGCGCCGCUCGCAAAGGUUGGUCUCUCACCCUCUUCGCUGAACUCGCACUUCACUUCCCCCUGCCGUAAGCCGGCUUCGCCGCUUUUAUACCCUCUUACCGUCUUUCUGAAACUGACUGUAGUGGUUGUAACGUGUCGCGUCACUCCGGGCCGACCCGACACUCGAAGCCUCGAGAACGGCGGCUCGUUAUUCUCGCCACUCCACGCGGCUGCCUCAGUAAGCCCGCGGAAUUCUCAGCGUCGAGGAAGGAAGGCGCUGGGACAGGCGGGUGCUGAGGCCGGGCCGCUUUAAAACCCCAAAGAUAUGCGCGCGUGACGUCAGUGGCCGUGCGGGGCCUAGCCUUCCACGUUUGUUAGAAUAUCUUUGAUAUUAUCCAAUAGCGCUGAUACAUCACGCAAGUAUUCAUAGUUAUAAUCAUUUGGGUGACUUCCAAAGAUCAAAAUUAACCUUUGGUAAAUAUAUAUUGGUAAGAAAACAUGACCCAACAACAACUGCAAUAAGUUAUCGGAAUAAACUUACUCCCUUCAGAAAUAGCAAUGACAAGACGAAUAUAAUCUGCUAAGCGUGUAGGACCGAACCUUAAAAUCUAAUAUUUAAUGUAUGCGAAACUCUCCACGGUUAGAAAAUACAGUAAAUUUAUGGGCAUUUUUAAAAAAGAAACUCCCUGAAAACGACGAGUACCUACUUAGUAAUUUAAGAUAAGUGGUACUUCGUAAAAGCAUGCAGCAUGUUGAUUCGUGUUCAAUGCAAGUGAAAUCAUUACCCGUUAAUUUAUGAAGAUAAACGUAUAUUAACAAAGUUCCCUGAAUAAUUUGUAACAAGUGGACUUCGUAAAAUUAAGGUGAAAAUUUUUAACAGUGUUGAAGCAACUAGGGUGCCGCGAAAAUAAGUUUCAGCCCUAAGGUAUUGUGAUUCACAACACUUGAUAAAACUGUUGGACGAGUGCUAUGGCUGCAACGUCGAGGAAAUUCUAGAAAACCGGAAGACUGGUAGAGAAAUGUAGGGUUCAUGACUCACCUCCUGUAGUGAACUCUGAACAACUCGGGACCGGACUUUAUGCUCACGAGUCGUCACGUUGGAGGUGGACUAGAACCCAUGGCCCUACCCCAAUAAGAACGGAGUCUCAGGAAGCAUGGUGACAGGGUUUUGUGAAGGGCGAAGGAUUACAAUGAAACGUAUGCUAAUGCUGCACACAGCGCGAGUUUUCUUUCAGGGGGGAAAACACCCUGAAAUUUAUAAACAGUCUAUGAAAGAAUGUCCCAGUUUCAAUGGUAUAUUAUAACAAUUUAAUUUAGAUUAUUUACAACAAAUCAUAGGUACCUACAUUGAAUUGAAAGUAAAUUAACUUAGUUUUUAUUACAAAUGUUCAACAUGUACACCUUUAUAAUAGUUAUAGGGCACACAACCAACCUGAAGUCCAAUUUUUGGAAGAUAGAUGUUCGGAGUAAUGGAAGAAAUAGCCUCUACAAUUCUUAGUCUCAACUCUGACAAAUCAUUAGGUAGCGGCGGAACGAAAACACGAUCUAUUAUAAACCCCCAAAGGGGGAAAAAAAAAAAUCGCAUGGCAGGUAAACGUAAGAGGCCCGCGAAAAAUAGCUCUGUCGUCUCGACCAUUAUGACCAAUUCGAUGGUCUGGGACUUCAACAGUUAAACUUUAAACGAAACGCACGUUGAACUGGAAUACAGAUUCACUCUUAGCAAAUUGCAGAACCAAAAACGCUUUACGUUCAGGAGUCACCAUUUUGCAUAAGUUGCGCUGCAAGCUAGAAAAAAAAACAGAGCAGUACUCACACAAGUGCUGAACUAAAACUGUUUUAGUUACUCUGUAAUUGUGACCUUGAUCCAAAAAUCUACAACGCUUAAAGUUGAUGCUAUUAGAAUUUAUAACUGGGACAUUCUUUUCCAGACAUACUAUAUUUUACAUAUGUGUGGGGGGAAGGUUUAGAUACUCCAAAAUAUUGUUAUAUGAAUGCUAGGAGGCAAGGCUUGGAUGCAUGCCAGGUACCUGAGCGGGCCUAUCAGCGAGUCUGGCUGCGGCCCCGCACGGGCGCUGACUUCACGCAUGCCAGGCGUGUCCGGCCGGAUUACAAGGGUCUGGCUAAUCAUCCUCCUCCGCUUCCCGCUCCACACUGACCUGCCUCCGACUACUGUCACUGACACUUUAAUUGACCUGGGAAUUCCGCUGGUUUUUCGUGACAGCUACUCGGAGUGGCGCGAAUAAACGCCGCCUUUCUGGACUUUUAGGGCGUCGGGUCGGCCCGGAAUGACGCGACUCGUCACAGCCGCUCUCGUCCCUUCGAGGACACAGUGGGGACAUAAGCGACGACGCCAGCCUCCGCGGGAGUUCCGCCCGCGAGUUGAAGGGAAGUGCGACAUGGGCGAAGAGGGUGAGAGACCGCCUCGAGGGCGGCGCGACGAGGAGCGACGGGACCGUGAGUGCGACUGAGUGGCGCGAGACUGUGUGUGUGUGGACAGGCCGUGGUAAGGAGUGCAUCACUGUCGAGCCUAGCUAGCUCCAGUGAGGAGUGCGAACUGUGGAACUUGACAGACAUCGAGGGACUUGCGAAUAAACAAUUUUAAGUAACUCAACAACAAUUUCACACAGAAUGCACCACAUUCUGAAAAUCACAAUGUUGAUGAAACAGUGGUGCCAUAUUUUGGGAAGAAUGGAUGCAAGCAGUUUAUAAAAGGCAAACUUAGACAAUAUGGGGUAUAAGCUUUGGUCAGGGGCUACCAUGACAGGUUACACUGUGUGGAUGGAUCCUUACCAAGGUGCUAAAUCUAGUACAUCUACAGAAUACAAACAUAUGGGCUUGGGAGCUAGUGUUGUCCUUAAGUAUGUUGAUGUGUUGAGAACCACAGGACAGUACAAGUUUCACAUAUUCAGUGAUGUUUUUACCUCAGUUCCAUUACUUUCAGAACUACGUAAGAUAAAUAUUUGUGCUACUGGCACAAUAAGAGAAAAUAGAGUCAGAAACAGCCCUCUUACACAUUCUAACAUCCUGAAGAAAACACCCCUAGCCGAAACAAAAAUGGAACGAAGUGAAGAUAUCGUAACUAAAUGUAUGACAAUAGAGUUGUAACAGUUGCCUCAAAUUCUCUUUCAGCCAACCCUAUUCACACAGUAAGCAGGUAUUCCCAAAGAGAGAAGAGUCAGAAUCAUUAACCCCACACACACAUUUACAAUAAAAAUAUGGGUGGUGUUGACAGAGUUGAUCAGAAUAUCAGUCGGUACAGAAUACAGAAUUCGAACACGAGGGAAAAAAAAAAAGGCAUUUGUAGCCUGAUCUCUCACUGCAUUGAUGCAGAUGAGAAAAAUGCCUGGCAACUCCAUCGACAUGCCAAGAGUGAACUUGAUCAUUUGGCAUUCCGGAGGAGGUUAGCUGUUUCCAUUAUUGAGAAGAAUGCCAAACCAACAAAGUAAGAGGGAGGCCUUCCAGGACUGAACAUGAAGAUUCAUGAUUGGAUAGGAAAAAUCAUCACUGGGUAGUCCCUCAAGAGAAGCAAACACGCUGUAGACUGUGCCAGAUGAGAGCAACUACACAAUGUGUGAAAUGUGUUGUUUGUAUUUACGUUAAAUAGUUUUCAAAACUAUCAUACUGUAAAAUAAUUUUCAGAAUUUAUCACCUUUUUUUUUUAUAGAAACAUGAUAACAUUGUUUAUCUUUGAUAUGGAUUGUUAAAAAAAUUCAUUUGUUUACAACACCUAUUGGACUAGUGUACUAAAUAUAGUACAGCAUGUGUAUGUGUGAGACUGGUUUACUAAAUUUAGUACAGCUAAGAACACCUAAAUAGGUGCUAUUUUAUUAUUUCAACAACAAAUAUAACAUUGCCAUUGCAUAAACAUUCAUUCAAUAGAUAUGAUUUGUUUGAAUAAACAUAAAAUAUUUUAUAGUCCAAUCUGGGUUAAUUUUCUUUUCUAAAUAUUAGUUUAAACUUAAGAUCUCGUCUGCAGUGUGGUAUUUAGAGGUAAACACACAACAUAAAUCAGGGAAAUCGGGGAACCAAUCUACAAAGAAUGUAAGCUUGUAGCAAACCUGUAAAAAUACUUGAAUUAGGCUUGCAGUGUAAGCUUGACACACCAAGCUUAAUUCAAGCCUGCUUUGAACCAUGAACCAUUACUGCAAGCUUGAUGCAAACUUGUCGUGGCCCAGGGCCAGGCAUGUACGCCAAUUCGAAACCCCCCAUCCACGACAAUAUUAUAAACAAGUCUUAAGCAUGAAAAUAAUUGUAGUUACUAUGUUUUGUACUUCUUAUUAUGCAGUAAUUUGUUUGCAGUGUGCUGGUUUUUAUAGUACUCUAACAAAUAUUUCAUUAAAUGGUUUCAAUUU